AGUCUGCCCAGAGACUUAGCGACAGACAGACGCUGGGACCCACGACGACAGAAGGCGCCGAUGGCCGCGCCUGCUGAGCCCUGCGCGGGGCAGGGGGUCUGGAACCAGACAGAGCCUGAACCUGCCGCCACCAGCCUGCUGAGCCUGUGCUUCCUGAGAACAGCAGGGGUCUGGGUACCCCCCAUGUACCUCUGGGUCCUUGGUCCCAUCUACCUCCUCUUCAUCCACCACCAUGGCCGGGGCUACCUCCGGAUGUUCCCCACUCUUCAAAGCCAAGAUGGUGCUUGGAUUCGCCCUCAUAGUCCUGUGUACCUCCAGCGUGGCUGUCGCUCUUUGGAAAAUCCAACAGGGAACGCCUGAGGCCCCAGAAUUCCUCAUUCAUCCUACUGUGUGGCUCACCACGAUGAGCUUCGCAGUGUUCCUGAUUCACACCAAGAGGAAAAAGGGAGUCCAGUCAUCUGGAGUGCUGUUUGGUUACUGGCUUCUCUGCUUUGUCUUGCCAGCUACCAACGCUGCCCAGCAGGCCUCCGGAGCGGGCUUCCAGAGCGACCCUGUCCGCCACCUGUCCACCUACCUAU
rnacentral:lncRNA from 1 species